rnacentral:rRNA from 1 species
GAUGAACGCUGGCGGCGUGCCUAAUACAUGCAAGUCGAGCGAACAGACGAGGAGCUUGCUCCUCUGACGUUAGCGGCGGACGGGUGAGUAACACGUGGAUAACCUACCUAUAAGACUGGGAUAACUUCGGGAAACCGGAGCUAAUACCGGAUAAUAUAUUGAACCGCAUGGUUCAAUAGUGAAAGACGGUUUUGCUGUCACUUAUAGAUGGAUCCGCGCCGCAUUAGCUAGUUGGUAAGGUAACGGCUUACCAAGGCAACGAUGCGUAGCCGACCUGAGAGGAUGAUCGGCCACACUCGAACUGAGACACGGUCCAGACUCCUACGGGAGGCAGCAGUAGGGAAUCUUCCGCAAUGGGCGAAAGCCUGACGGAGCAACGCCGCGUGAGUGAUGAAGGUCUUCGGAUCGUAAAACUCUGUUAUUAGGGAAGAACAAAUGUGUAAGUAACUAUGCACGUCUUGACGGUACCUAAUCAGAAAGCCACGGCUAACUACGUG